rnacentral:rRNA from 1 species
CUAUGACGCAUACCUGGUCUGAGAGGAUGAUCAGGCACACUGGAACUGAGACACGGUCCAGACUCCUACGGGAGGCAGCAGUGGGGAAUAUUGCACAAUGGAGGAAACUCUGAUGCAGCAACGCCGCGUGGAGGAUGACGCAUUUCGGUGUGUAAACUCCUUUUAUAGGGGAAGAUAAUGACGGUACCCUAUGAAUAAGCACCGGCUAACUCCGUGCCAGCAGCCGCGGUAAUACGGAGGGUGCAAGCGUUACUCGGAAUCACUGGGCGUAAAGGAUGCGUAGGCUGGAAAUCAAGUCGAGAGUGAAAUCCAACGGCUCAACCGUUGAACUGCUCUCGAAACUGGUUACCUAGAAUAUGGGAGAGGUAGAUGGAAUUAGUGGUG